UAACACAUGCAAGUCGAACGGUAACAGGAAACAGCUUGMUGUUUCGCUGWCGAGUGGCGGACGGKUGAGUAAUGUCUGGGAAACUGCCUGAUGGAGGGGGAUAACUACUGGAAACGGUAGSUAAUACCGCAUAAUGUCGCAAGACCAAAGAGGGGGACCUUCGGGCCUCUUGCCAUCGGAUGUGCCCAGAUGGGAUUAGMUAGUAGGUGGGGUAACGGYUCACCUAGGCGACGAUCCCUAGCUGGUCUGAGAGGAUGACCAGCCACACUGGAACUGAGACACGGUCCAGACUCCUACGGGAGGCAGCAGUGGGGAAUAUUGCACAAUGGGCGCAAGCCUGAUGCAGCCAUGCCGCGUGUAUGAAGAAGGCCUUCGGGUUGUAAAGUACUUUCAGCGGGGAGGAAGGGAGUAAAGUUAAUACCU
rnacentral:rRNA from 1 species